rnacentral:lncRNA from 1 species
GUCACACAGUUUGAGGACAAACUAAUUAUCUGCUAUUGCAGCUGCAAAUGCUGAAACAUACCUAAAGAUGGCGCUGGGGAGACCCAUACUCUGUUUAUGACUACGACACGGCAGAGCCCAGACUGGCUGAGCAGGUUUGCAAGCCCAGUGCCUGUAGCAAAAGAGGUACAGUCAUCCAGGCUUGAGCAAAUCAUUCAAGCCCCAAUCUAACGAAAACCAAGCAAAAGAAAACAAGGAACUAAACGCCAUCAGGCUCCAACAGCUGCAUCCAGAGCUUAAGAGAGGACAGAGUCCAUCAGUCAAGGACACAGACGCUGGCAGGCCCCCGACGGAGCUCUAAUCCUUUACUGGUUGACACGUGUAUAGAACGCAUUCUGUUUAAUCUCAUCCCCACCCUGGCUUACGGAAGAAACAUCUCUAUAUGAUGGAUGGUGGUGGGUGCAGAGACUCUUCAUUGCUCAGGGUGCUGAGAACAAGGGGCAGCUGUGUGCUUUACCCUAAACAGGAUGCUUGCUUGGAAAGCAUCUCUCCACAGCUUGGAAAAUAUUGUAAGAGAAAAUGGAAGGUUGUCACAAGAUGUGAGCUCUGAACCACUGCUCCAGCACCAGGCCUUCUGCCAUGCUCCCUGCCCGGUAUAUUAUCACAGCAAUCACAGCACCUGAAUGCGCACAGUGGGAACGGAGAAGUUUGUGUCUAUGAACGAAGAACGAACACAUGAACAUGUGCGGUGACAGGCAGCUAAGGCUCCCCAGCUGCCAAGCCGUGUGUGUUCUCCAGAGUGCUGGUAGGAUGACAGUCAGCCAUGCUUGCUUGCUUGUCACCUGUUACCUGCUUGGGGCUUGAGUAGGUUGCAUGGUAGCCCAGCCAAAGCUUCAUCCGUCUGGAAUAUAAGAACGUAACACUUUGGGGGCUGGAGAGAUGGCUCAGCGGUUAGCACUGAGCUCAUUUUUGCAGCCAGGAAGUUUAAUGAGGCCAGAUUACUCCGAGGUUCUUUUCUUCACCCUUUUCUACUCUUAAUAGGUUACUUUGUUCCUCACCUAUCUACCUAUCUACCUAUCUACCUAUCUACCUAUCUAUCUAUCUAUCUAUCCUAUCUGUCUCUAUCUAUCCUAUCCCUAUCUAUCUAUCGUCUAUCAUCUCUCUAUCAUCUAUCUAUCUAUCUAUCUAUCUAUCUAUCUCUCUAUCCAUCUAUCAUCUCUCUAUCGUCUAUCUAUAUAUCUAGCAUCUAUCUAUCCUGUCUCUAUCUAUCCUAUCCCUAUCUAUCUAUCUACCUAUCUAUCAUCUAUCUAUCUAUCCUUCCUUCCUUCCAUUCUUUCUUCCUUCUUUCUUUUCUUCCUUCCUUCCUAACACAACCCAGGUUUUGUUCUACUGUGAGACUGCAGCGGGAAAAGCACACCUUGCGGGUUAAGAGUUCUGUUUGCAGUUAAUAAUGAACUCCUGUUUGCCUUAUAUUUGUUUGACCCAUCUGCACCAGAUGUACUUGAUCACAUGUAGGCGGGAGGCAAGAAAUGCAUCCGGAUGUGAGUUUGCUCCUCACUGGAUGUAGGUGGAAAGCACAUAGUCAGAAAACACGUCAGGGUGUAUGCUUGUCCCUGAUUGGACCUGAUGGGAAAUGUGGGUAAUUAUGGGAUUUGCCUUUUUAAACCCCUGAAAACUGUGGCUCGUGAAUUUUCUGAGAAUUCAAAGAGAUGGGCCUGGCCAGAGUCCAUCAAUCUGGCCAGUAUUUAACUAAAACUUGCUUUAAAUUUGGCUUUAUAUUGUGGUGAUGGUCUUUUUCUCUACCGGUGGGGUUAACAUUGCCUCUGACACAUCACACACAGUCAACAUAGUUGUUGACUUCAUCCCCAGCCCUGUGGCUGGGUGUGGCUGCUUUUAAGAUGAUCCUAUUCUCUCUAUAGCUGAUGGGUUUUGGAAAGGACAGGCCCUAAUUCUGACCUAUGAAAGCU